rnacentral:lncRNA from 1 species
CACCGAAUGUUCCUUAUCUUUUUUUAUCAUCUUUUUGCUUAUUCUGUAUUUACAGCUGACUUGGAAGGCCUAGUCCUUUUAUGGAAACUUAGUGUAUUUUGAAGAUGAGAAAAAGAUCCCGAAGUCAACCAUCAUUGUGAUUAGGAUUUGAGCACUUGUCAAGAAUAUGAGCUUAUUUUUCUAGGCAUAUGAGAUGGGCUUCAAUUGGUGCAUCGCCAAGGUGAAGGAGUUCUUUCCGAAU